CCUACGGGAGGCAGCAGUGGGGGAUAUUGCACAAUGGGGGGAACCCUGAUGCAGCGACGCCGCGUGGGUGAAGGAGCGUUUCGGCGCGUAAAGCCCUAUCGGCAGGGAAGAAGGAGGACGGUACCUGACUAAGAAGCCCCGGCUAACUACGUGCCAGCAGCCGCGGUAAUACGUAGGGAGCAAGCGUUGUCCGGAAUUACUGGGGGUAAAGGGGGCGUAGGCGGGGAUGCAAGUUGGGUGUCAAAACUACCGGCUCAACCGAUAGUCGCACUCAAAACUGCAGCUCUUGAGUGAAGUAGAGGCAGGCGGAAUGCCUAGUGUAGCGGUGAAAUGCGUAGAUAUUAGGAGGAACACCAGUGGCGAAGGCGGCCUGCUGGGCUUUUACUGACGCUGAGGCUCGAAAGUGUGGGGAGCAAACAGGAUUAGAUACCCUUGUAGUC
rnacentral:rRNA from 1 species